CCUACGGGAGGCAGCAGUGGGGAAUAUUGCACAAUGGGGGAAACCCUGAUGCAGCGACGCCGCGUGAGUGAAGAAGUAUUUCGGUAUGUAAAGCUCUAUCAGCAGGGAAGAUAAUGACGGUACCUGACUAAGAAGCCCCGGCUAACUACGUGCCAGCAGCCGCGGUAAUACGUAGGGGGCAAGCGUUAUCCGGAUUUACUGGGUGUAAAGGGUGCGUAGGUGGCAAGGCAAGUCAGAUGUGAAAGCCCGGGGCUCAACCCCGGUACUGCAUUUGAAACUGUCUAGCUAGAGUGCAGGAGAGGUAAGCGGAAUUCCUAGUGUAGCGGUGAAAUGCGUAGAUAUUAGGAGGAACACCAGUGGCGAAGGCGGCUUACUGGACUGUAACUGACACUGAGGCACGAAAGCGUGGGGAGCAAACAGGAUU
rnacentral:rRNA from 1 species